UGCGUAGGUGGUAUGGCAAGUCAGAAGUGAAAACCCAGGGCUUAACUCUGGGACUGCUUUUGAAACUGUCAGACCGGAGUGCAGGAGAGGUAAGCGGAAUUCCUAGUGUAGCGGUGAAAUGCGUAGAUAUUAGGAGGAACAUCAGUGGCGAAGGCGGCUUACUGGACUGAAACUGACACUGAGGCACGAAAGCGUGGGGAGCAAACA
rnacentral:rRNA from 1 species